GAUGAACGCUAGCGGGAGGCUUAACACAUGCAAGUCGUGGGGCAGCACAGGUAGCAAUACUGGGUGGCGACCGGCGCACGGGUGAGUAACGCGUAUGUAACCUACCCUGUACAGGGGGAUAGCCCGGAGAAAUUCGGAUUAAUACCCCAUAAUGAUAUCGAGGGGCAUCUUUGGAUAUUUAAAGUUCCGGCGGUACGGGAUGGGCAUGCGUAACAUUAACUGGUUGGUAAGGUAACGGCCUACCAAGGCUAUGAUGUUUAGGGGUCCUGAGAGGGUGAUCCCCCACACUGGUACUGAGACACGGACCAGACUCCUACGGGAGGCAGCAGUGAGGAAUAUUGGUCAAUGGGCGCAAGCCUGAACCAGCCAUCCCGCGUGCAGGAAGACGGCCCUAUGGGUUGUAAACUGCUUUUCCAGGGAGAGAAACCUGCGCACGUGUUGCGCAAUUGACGGUACCCUGGGAAUAAGCAUCGGCUAACUCCGUG
rnacentral:rRNA from 1 species